rnacentral:rRNA from 1 species
GAUGAACGCUGGCGGCGUGCCUAACACAUGCAAGUCGAGCGAACGGACGAGGAUUUUGCUUGUCUGAUGUUAGCGGCGGACGGGUGAUUCACACGUGGAUAACAUACCUAUAAGAAUGGGAUAAUUACGCGGAAGCGUAUCUACUACCCGAUGAUAUUUUGAACUUCAUGGUUCAUAAGUGAAAGCCGGUCUUUCUGACACUAAUAGCUGUAUCCGAGCUGGAUGAGUUAGUGGGUAAGGUAACGGCUUACCAAGGCUACGAUGGGGAGCUGCCCGGAGAGGGUGAUAGGCCACACGGGAAGGGAGCCACGGUCCAGACUCCGGCGGGAGGCAGCAGUAGGGAAUAUUCCGCAAUGGGCGAAAGCCUGACGGAGCAAAGCCGCGUGAGUGAUGAAGGUCUUCGGAUCGUAAAGCUCUGUUAUUUGGGAAGAAGAGAUGUGUAAGUAACUGUGCAGAUAUUGACGGUACCUAAUGAGAAAGCACCGGCUAACUACGUG